rnacentral:miRNA from 1 species
UUGGAGGGUGUGGAAGACAUC